UGGGGAGUCGUCCAACGGCAGGACAUAUCCCUCUGGAGGAUAGUAUCUUGGUUCGAAUCCAGGCUCCCCAG
rnacentral:tRNA from 1 species